GAUGAACGCUGGCGGCGUGCCUAAUACAUGCAAGUCGAGCGAACAGACGAGGAGCUUGCUCCUCUGACGUUAGCGGCGGACGGGUGAGUAACACGUGGAUAACCUACCUAUAAGACUGGGAUAACUUCGGGAAACCGGAGCUAAUACCGGAUAAUAUAUUGAACCGCAUGGUUCAAUAGUGAAAGACGGUUUUGCUGUCACUUAUAGAUGGAUCCGCGCCGCAUUAGCUAGUUGGUAAGGUAACGGCUUACCAAGGCAACGAUGCGUAGCCGACCUGAGAGGGUGAUCGGCCACACUGGAACUGAGACACGGUCCAGACUCCUACGGGAGGCAGCAGUAGGGAAUCUUCCGCAAGGGGCGAAAGCCUGACGGAGCAACGCCGCGUGAGUGAUGAAGGUCUUCGGAUCGUAAAACUCUGUUAUUAGGGAAGAACAAAUGUGUAAGUAACUAUGCACGUCUUGACGGUACCUAAUCAGAAAGCCACGGCUAACUACGG
rnacentral:rRNA from 1 species